CCUCCUGAGUAGCUGGGAUUACAGGCACGCGCCACCAUGCCCAGCUAAUUUUUUGUAUUUUGAGUAGAGACGGGGUUUCACCAUGUUGACCAGGAUGGUCUCGAUCUCUUGACCUUGUGAUCCACCUGCCUUGGCCUCCCAAAGUGCUGGGAUUACAGGCGUGAGCCACCGCACCUGGCCCUACAUCUUUUUAUUACUAUAAGAAUUUGCACAACAUGUGACACAUCAUAGGAACUUAAUACGUGUUUACUGAAUGAAUGAAUGGAAGGAUGAGUGAGCAAUCAAGGACUCUAGAAUGUCUUAGUGCUUUUGAGACAUAGUGCUUAUGGACUAAUACACAGAAGGUAACAGAAGGGAACAGUGACCACAAAAAUGAAACUACUGGAAAGUCUCUUAUACUAAUGAGAGGCUGGGAUCAUGCCCAGGCCAAAGUGUUUGCCAAGGAGAAGCAAUUUUCUUCUUAUCUAAAGCAUGGAUAUGCAUCUGAGCCCAGGUAUUUGAAAGGUACUUGAAGAGCCAGUUUUCAGAAGUAAGGAACAAUGGAGCUUCCCUCCACCAUACAGGGAGAAGUAGAGCCAGAGCUUUUGGUUUAUGUGAGCUCAACUUGGCUGUCUUCCCAAGCCAAACCUUCAAAGUGAGAGAGGAGAAGGCUUUAGCAAAAUCUGAUUUUCAUCUCCUACUGAAUUCUCUCCUUGUCAAUUAUUUCUUGGGGGAGGUCACAUAGAUGUCACUCAAUUAUUUCCUCCCGAGUCUGACAGUGAUAUGGUAGCCAGCCUCUAAGGUGACUCCAUUCAUCUCUACUUCCUGGUAUUCAUUCCCUUGUGUGUGGGCUGAACAUAGCAACUUGCUUUUAAUCCGUAUAGUAAGACAAAAAUGAAUGUUACUUCCAUGAUUAGUUUAGAAAAGGUAGGGACUUUCAUCUGGUUUUACACUUCCUCUUUCUCGCUGGGCUGGAUGAAGCAAGCUGCCGUGCUGGAGAGGACAAUUUAGCAAUGAUCUGAGGGCAGCCAACAGACAAAGGGGAACCGAGGCUCUCAGUCCAAUAAGCUUCGAGGAAGUGAAUUUUCCAACAACUAUGUAAGUGAGCUUGAAAGUAGGUAUUUCCCCAGUUGAGUCUUCAGAUGAAAUCGGAACUUUGUUCCAAUCAAGAGCGCUUGGAACUCCAACGUUUAAGGAAAGAAAAGGUAGGUGGUUGGCAAAGCCUGAGUCCUGUCCUCUCGCUCUCCUCCCCAGGCAGCAUGAGCUUCACCACUCGCUCCACCUUCUCCACCAACUGCUGGUCUGUGGGCUCCGUGCAGGUGCCCAGCUACGAUGCCCGGCCCAUCAGCAGCAUGGCCAGCAUCUAUGCAGGCACUGGGGGCUCUGGUUCCCGCAUCUCCCACAUCUCCAUGACAUGCUCCGCCAGCUUCCAGAGCGGCAAGCGGGUCGGGGGCCCUGCCAUGGGGAUGGCCAGGGGUCUGGCAGGAACGGGAGGCAUCCAGAACGAGAAGGAGACCAUGCCAAGCCUGAACGACUGCCUGGCCUCCUACCUGGACACAGUCAGGAGCCUGGAGACCGAGAACCGGAAGUCGGAGAGCAAAACCCGGGGGCACCUGGAGAAGGGACCCCAGGUCAGAGACUGGGGCCAUUACUUCAAGACCAUCGAGGACCUGAGGGCUCAGAUCUUAGCAAAUACUGUGGACAAUGCCUGCAUCGUUCUGCAGAUUGACAGUGCUCGUCUUGCUGCUGAAGACUUUAGAGUCAGUAUGAGACAGAGCUGGCCAUGCGCCAGUCUGUGGAGAGCGACAUCCAUGGGCUCUGCAAGGUCAUCGACGACACCAAUGUCACUCGGCUGCAGCUGGAGACAGAAAUCGAGGCUCUUAAGGAGGAGCUGCUCUUCAUGAAGAAGAACCACGAAGAGGAAGUAAAUGGCCUACAAGCCCAGAUUGCCAGCUCUGGGUUGACCGUGGAGGUAGAUGCCCUCAAAUCUCAGGACCUCACUAAGAUCAUGGCAGAAAUCCGGGCUCAAUGACCAGCUGGCUCGGAAGAACCGAGAGGAGCUGGGUGAGUACUGGACUCAGCUGAUUGAGGAGAGCACCAUAGUACUCACCACACAGUCCACCGAGGUUGAAGCUGCUGAGAUGACGCUCACAGAGCUGAGACGUAAGGUCCAGUCCUUGGAGAUCGAGCUGAACUCCAUGAGAAAUACGAAGAUCAGCUUGGAGAACAGCCUGAGGGAGGUGGAGGCCCGCUACGCCCUGCAGAUGGAGCAGCUCAACGGGAUCCUGCUGCACCUGCAGUCAGAGCUGGCACAGACCCGGGCAGAGGGACAGCGCCAGGCCCAGGAGUACGAGGCUCUGUUGAACAUCAAGGUCAAGCUGGAGGCCGAGAUCGCCACCUACCGCCACCUGCUGGAAGAUGGCGAGGACUGCAGUCUUAGCGAUGCCCUGGACAGCAGCGACUGCAUGCAAACCAUUCAAAAGACGACCACCCGCCGGAGAGUCGAUGGCAAAGUGGUGUCUGAGACCAAUGACACCACAGUUCUGAGACAUUAGGCCAGCAGAAGCAGGGGACCCUUCGGGGAGCAGGAGGCCAAUAAAAAGUUGAGAGGUCAAAAA